ACUAAUAAAUUUUUUAAAAAUAUUCUGCAGAUUUUUGAAGAAGUCAAAACAAAAUAUUCUAGUGACAUUUUGAAAGAUGUCAUUAUUGUUGAAAAUUAUGAAGCUUUUCACAAUAACUACCUCAAGAUGUGAUACAAAAAGUCAACAUUAAUUCUGUAACUAUUAUAAAAUCUACAAUAGAACAUAGCAGUUAUUUGAACUUUUAUCAAAUGUCUAACAUGCUUUCAUUUAAACCCAGAAGUCUAUUUCCUACUAUAGAUAAAAAGAUUCAUAUGGACAUAAGAUAUAAUUAAGCUAAAGCAGAAACCACAAUUUCCAGAUUUCCUUCAAAUAUGUAACUUUCAAAAGUCAAAUUUUAUCACCAUUAAACAUAAUAUAGUACAUAACAUCAAAAAAGAUCCUAAAUACUAAUCUUUAAUCUGUUAAAAUGUGGUCACUGAAAACAACUGCUGACAAAACUUGCAAUUCCUU